rnacentral:rRNA from 1 species
AAGGAAUAUUGGUCAAUGGAGGCAACUCUGAACCAGCCAUGCCGCGUGCAGGAAGAAGGCCCUAUGGGUCGUAAACUGCUUUUAUACGGGAGAAAACCUGGGUACGUGUACCCAGUUGAUAGUACUGUAAGAAUAAGGAUCGGCUAACUUCGUGCCAGCAGCCGCGGUAAGACGAAGGCUCCAAGCGUUAUCCGGAUUCAUUGGGUUUAAAGGGAGCGUAGGCGGACUAAUAAGUCAGUGGUGAAAGCCGAUAGCUUAACUAUCGAACUGCCAUUGAUACUGUAAGUCUAGAGUACAGAUGAUGUUGGCGGAAUAUGACAUGUAGCGGUGAAAUGCAUAGAUAUGUCAUAGAACACCGAUUGCGAAGGCAGCUGACAAAACUGUAACUGACGCUGAGGCUCGAAAGUGCGGGGAUCAAA